rnacentral:lncRNA from 10 species
GGUGUGCUUGCAGGCUUUGAAGAACAAGCUGCCAUGAAUCCUGCAGCUACAAGGAAAUGAACUCUAUUAACUUGAGUGAGCUUAAAACUAGAUCCUUCCCCAGUCAAGCCUCCAGGUGAGAAUUCAAUCCUGGCUGGCACCUGGAUUGCAGCUUACAGAAGACCCAGCUAAGGCCAUGUCUGGACUUUAAAUCCACAGGAACUGCAAGAUGGUAUCAGAAGUGGGACCUGCAGUGGGGCAUCUAGCAACCCCCAGGAGCAUUGAGUGACCAGGCUUGGGACCCACCGGGCGCAGGGUGUCCAUUGUUCUCUCGAAGCAACUGAGAAUUGUGGAUAUUCUUCAUUAUUCCAUCAUCAUCUCAAACCUCUUGGGUAUAGUGUUUGACUACUACUGUGACCAUAAAUUCCAAUAAAACCUAGGAAAAAUGAAACCACUACAUUAACUGAAAGGAUAUCAGAGAGACUUCUCUACUGCUUGGGAUGCUUGUUCAGAGUAUAAUUUCCAUAGCAGCAAGAAAAGGAAUUUUUGUUUGUGGAUACUUUAAAGUAAAUAAAGCUAUUAUAGAAGGCAAAAG